rnacentral:rRNA from 1 species
UACGAAGGACCCAAGCGUUAUCCGGAUUUAUUGGGUUUAAAGGGUGCGUAGGCGGAUUAUUAAGUCAGUGGUGAAAGCUCCCGGCUUAACCGGGAAAUUGCCGUUGAUACUGAUGAUCUUGAAUAUGGUUGAGGUGGGCGGAAUGUGUCAUGUAGCGGUGAAAUGCUUAGAUAUGGCACAGAACACCGAUUGCGAAGGCAGCUCACUAAGCCAUUAUUGACGCUGAUGAGCGAAAGCGUGGGGAGCGAACAGG